AUUGAACGCUGGCGGUAUGCUUAACACAUGCAAGUCGAACGAUGAGAAAGAGCUUGCUCUUUCGAUUAGUGGCGGACGGGUGCGUAACGCGUAGGAAUCUACCUAUUAGUGGGGGACAACUAGGGAAACUUAAGCUAAUACCGCAUACGCCCUACGGGGGAAAGAAGGGGAUCGCAAGACCUUUUGCUAAUAGAUGAGCCUGCGUAGGAUUAGCUAGUUGGUGGGGUAAAAGCUCACCAAGGCGACGAUCCUUAACUGGUUUGAGAGAAUGGUCAGGCACACUGGAACUGAGACACGGUCCAGACUCCUACGGGAGGCAGCAGUGGGGAAUAUUGGACAAUGGGCGAAAGCCUGAUCCAGCAAUACCGCGUGUGUGAAGAAGGCCUUAGGGUUGUAAAGCACUUUCAAUUGGAAGGAAAACCUCGAAGCUAAUACCUUCGAGUUUGACAUUACCUUUAGAAGAAGCACCGGCUAACUCCGUGCCAGCCGCCGCUGUAA
rnacentral:rRNA from 1 species